CCGUGGCUUGGUGCAUGGCGUUGGCUCUCUUUGCAGAGGGUUCUGCGUGGUUGCUCCCGGAAGCCCACUAGGAUCUCCCGGGUAAGUGGAUGCCUGUUCCUCCCUGCUACAGGUGGAAUUGUGCCCCCGUCUUGAAGCCCCCAGUACCUCAAAAUGUGACUAUACUUGGAGAUAGAACCUUUUAAAAGGUCAUGGAAGUAAAAUGAGGUCAUUUGGAUGGGCCCCAGUCCAACAGGACUCAUGUCCUUUAAGAAGAGAUUAGGGCACAGAUACACACAGCAGAAAGACCACGUGAGGACACAGCCACAGUACAGCCACCUCCUAGCCAAAGGACGACCUCAGAAUACACCAGCCCUGCCGACACCUCAAUCCUGGACUUUCAGCCUCCACGACUAUGAGAAGGGUUUCACUGUCGCACAGACUGGAGUGAGUGGCACGAUCUUGGCUCACUGCAACCUCUGCCACCUGGGCUCAAGCCAUCCUCCCACCUCAGCCUCCCGAGUACCUAGGACUACAGGUGCAUAGCACCGCACCUGGCUAAUUUUUCUGUAUUGUUAGCAGAGACGGUGUUUCG
rnacentral:lncRNA from 1 species